AGAUUAGGGUGAAGAUCAUACGUUUGUGGAAACAGUAUUCUGCGGCUGGUGGCCUAACGAUUGAGAUUGUUCUAAUCGAUUCUAACGUAGGCAAAUCGAUGUCCACAUUAAACUUAUACAAUUCCAUCCUAUAACCAAAUCUAUGUCCAUAUUAAACAUUCCUAAUGUCUUUUUAUCUUAUAAAUAAUAAAAUUAAUAAUCUCAUUCUACGCAUGGCACGGGUUACCUAGUGCAUGAUAUAACCAGUGUUUUACCCUAAAAUAAAAGCAUCAAUCCCUGAUCAGAACAAAAACCUCCCGAAAACAAGUUUCCACUUGAAUUUAAUUGGAAAAAAGAGACACUUAGAACUUGAGUUUGUCCCCAUAAGAUUUUGUCUAAAAAUUUUUUUGUCUAAUUAGGAAUUUAAUUAUUGUUAAUACGAUUAUACCCUCAGAUUAAUCAAAAUUCAACUUAAUUAAAAUACAUAAUACAAUAUUUGUUAAUUAUUUUGUAAAUACAAUUUUACAUAUUUUAAGGAAAGAUACACUACAAAAAAGAGAAACACACGUUAACCUAAUUUUUAACCCUCUUCUAUCGUCUUCUUCUCUGAGAGCUUUCUUUUAUUUUCAAUGGCUACUUUUUGGUCUUCUUGUUCACAUGGUUAAAAAUUCUCCGUCUCUGUUUUCUAUUUCUUCUUCUUUGCUCUUUAUUUUUCUUCGUCGUUUUGUUGUCUCGACUCAGUUAUGUACUCCGUCAUCAAUUGCAUCAAAAUCCUACGAUUCUUCGCACACGGUUUCUCAUGGUGCUAUUCAGUUCAGAACGUAUGAGGAACUCCCUAAAGUCAGUGGGGAGUUCAAAGAAAGGAGAAGAAAGUCAUUGUGGAUUAUGCUUGAGAUUUUGUUAGAUGCUCUUUGUAAAGGACAUGUUAGAUAAGCUUCAAUGUAUAUAGAGAGAAGA